UCAUUGUCGAAACCCUGCCCAGCAGAAGGACCGGCGAAC
rnacentral:rRNA from 1 species